rnacentral:rRNA from 1 species
GUGCGCAGGGAGGUGGCGCAGAUCCAGGGCCUCUGCGCGCAGAUGGACCGCCUCUGGCGCUCCAUCCCCGCCAAGGGCCAGCGCGGCCUUAACCCCAUAAAAGUGGAGCAGCUAUCUGAAGAGGUUGAUUCAUUGAAGGAAACCCUUGACAAGCACUCGUUGCGGCAACGAAAGCGGAUUCUGGAAGCCAAGGAAAGGGCGGAGCUAUUUGAGAGAGCUAAUGGUGAGUCGUCACAUGUCCUUGAAAUAUUUGACGACGAAGCCCAGGCAAUGCAAUCGGCCCGUAGCUCCUCUCGAAUGCUUGACGAAGCCUUUGAGACAGGAGUGGCCAUCCUCCACAAGUAG